AGCCGCGUAGUGUAGUGGUCAAGCAUUUGGGGGUAUGAAUUUCUCAUAUCUGUGGAAAGGGCCCUGAACCCUGAGACCGCGGUUCGAAUCCGCGCGCGGCUA
rnacentral:tRNA from 1 species